rnacentral:misc_RNA from 1 species
AUUUAAAUAUUUAGGUUCUAUCAUCUAGAAGAACGGAGCCGUAGAUUAGAAUGUAACUCAUAAGACUAAAAUAAGAUUGAUAAAAUGGAGUAGUGUGACGAGUAUGCUAGACAAUCGUAGGAUCCCUGACAAAGUGAAAAGUAAGUUAUAUAGAGCUAUUGUCAGACCAGCUAUUUUACAUGGAAUUGAAGUUUGAGCAUUCAAGGUACGACAUACUCAUAAUUUGAGUAUGACAGAAAUGCAGAUGUUAAUAUGGAUUACGACAUACUCAUAAUUUGAGUAUGACAGAAAUGCAGAUGUUAAUAUGGAUGUCUAGUAUUGCAAUAAUAAAAAUAAUUAGGAAUGACUACAUCUGCCAGAGAGUGCUUGUAGCACACACUGGAGAUAAAAAUGAAAGAGAAUCGUUUAAGAUGGUUUGGUCAUGUCCAA